GUGCACGCUGGCGGUAGGCCUCACACCUGCAAGUCGCACUGCAGCACAGUAAGAGCUUGCUCUUACGGGUGGCGAGUGGCGGACGGGUGAGGAAUACAUCGGAAUCUACUUUUUCGUGGGGGAUAACGUAGGGAAACUUACGCUAAUACCGCAUACGACCUACGGGUGAAAGCAGGGGAUCUUCGGACCUUGCGCGAUUGAAUGAGCCGAUGUCGGAUUAGCUAGUUGGCGGGGUAAAGGCCCACCAAGGCGACGAUCCGUAGCUGGUCUGAGAGGAUGAUCAGCCACACUGGAACUGAGACACGGUCCAGACUCCUACGGGAGGCAGCAGUGGGGAAUAUUGGACAAUGGGCGCAAGCCUGAUCCAGCCAUACCGCGUGGGUGAAGAAGGCCUUCGGGUUGUAAAGCCCUUUUGUUGGGAAAGAAAAGCAGCAGGUUAAUACCCCGCUGUUCUGACGGUACCCAAAGAAUAAGCACCGGCUAACUUCGUG
rnacentral:rRNA from 1 species